AGAGAGAUAGUUGAGUGGUUGAUAACUCUGGUUUGAAAAUUGGUAUAGUUCACAACAAGAACUAUCGAGGGUUCGAAUCCCUCUCUCUUUU